rnacentral:rRNA from 1 species
CCUACGGGUGGCAGCAGUGGGGAAUAUUGGGCAAUGGGCGCAAGCCUGACCCAGCAACGCCGCGUGAAGGAAGACGGCCCUCGGGUUGUAAACUUCUUUUAUUAGGGGAGAAACAAAUGACGGUACCGCAUGAAUAAGCCACGGCUAACUACGUGCCAGCAGCAGCGGUAAUACGUAGGUGGCAAGCGUUAUCCGGAUUUACUGGGUGUAAAGGGAGUGUAGGCGGGAGGGCAAGUCAGACGUGAAAUUAAGGGGCUCAACCCUGCAACUGCGUUUGAAACUGGUCUUCUGGAGUGAUGGAGAGGCAGGCGGAAUUCGGGGUGUAGCGGUGAAAUGCGUAGAUAUACGGAGGAACACCAGUUGCGAAGGCGGCCUGCUGGACAGUAACUGACGCUGAGGCGCGAAAGUGUGGGGAGCAAACAGGAUUAGAUACCCGAGUAGUC